GAUGAACGCUAGCGGCAGGCCUAACACAUGCAAGUCGAGGGGCAGCACAGAAACAGCGAUGUUUUGGUGGCGACCGGCGGACGGGUGCGUAACGCGUAUGCAACCUACCUUUAACAGGGGGAUAACGGAGAGAAAUUUCCACUAAUACCCCAUAACAUCGAUCAAGGCAUCUUGAUUGGUUGAAAACUCCGGUGGUUAAAGAUGGGCAUGCGUUGUAUUAGGUAGUUGGUGAGGUAAUGGCUCACCAAGCCUACGAUACAUAGGGGGACUGAGAGGUUAGCCCCCCACACUGGUACUGAGACACGGACCAGACUCCUACGGGAGGCAGCAGUGAGGAAGAUUGGUCAAUGGGGGCAACCCUGAACCAGCCAUGCCGCGUGCAGGAAGACGGCUCUAUGAGUUGUAAACUGCUUUUAAACAGGGAUAAAGCACAGUAUGUAUACUGUGUUGAAGGUACUGUAAGAAUAAGGAUCGGCUAACUCCGUGCCAGCAGCCGCCGUAA
rnacentral:rRNA from 1 species